rnacentral:rRNA from 1 species
AAGUCGUAACAAGGUUUCCGUAGGUGAACCUGCGGAAGGAUCAUUAAUGAAUUUCAAGGACGUUCUUUUUAGAAGUCCGACCAUUUCAUUUUCUUACACCGUGCACACUUUUUUUUACACCAUUUUUAACACAUUAGUAUAAGAAUGUAAUCAGUCUCUUAAUUGAGCAUAAAACAAAUAAAACUUUCAGCAACGGAUCUCUUGGCUCUCGCAUCGAUGAAGAACGCAGCGAAAUGCGAUACGUAAUGUGAAUUGCAGAAUUCAGUGAAUCAUCGAAUCUUUGAACGCACCUUGCACUCUUUGGUAUUCCGAAGAGUAUGUCUGUUUGAGUGUCAUGAAACUCUCAACCCCCCUGUUUUGUAAUGAGACGGGCGUGGGCUUGGAUUAUGGUUGUUUGUCGGCGUAAUUGUCGGCUCAACUGAAAUAUACGAGCAACCCAUUUUAAAAUAGACGGUUUGACUCGGCGUAAUAAUUAUUUCGCUGAGGACGUCUUCUUUGAAUUUUAGUGGUGCCUCUAAUGCUAUACUUUUAUUAGUAUCAUUUCAACUUUAGACCUCAAAUCAGAUAGGACUACCCGCUGAACUUAAGCAUAUCAAUAAGCGGAGGAAAAGAAACUAACAAGGAUUCCCCUAGUAACGGCGAGUGAAGUGGGAAAAGCUCAACUUUGAAAUCUGGCACCUUUGGUGUCCGAGUUGUAGUCUCGAGAAAUGUUUUCCGUGCCAGGUUGUGUGUGAGUCUGUUGGAAUACAGCGUCAUAGAGGGGUGAGAACCCCSGUCAUAACAUAAUCUUCGGUGCUUUGUGGAUACAUUUUCCAAAGAGUCGAGUUGUUUGGGGAAUGCAGCUCAAAAUGGGGUGGUAAAUUCCCAUCUAAAGCUAAAUAUUGGCGAGAGACCGAUAGCAAACAAGUACCGUGAGGGGAAAGAUGAAAAGCACUUUGGAAAGAGAGUUAACAGUACGUGAAAUUGUUGAAAGGGAAACGAUUGAAGUCAGACGUGCGUUGUGCGAUUCAGCUUUGGUUUUCCAAGGUGUAUUUUGUACUAUUGCAGGCCAGCAUCGGUUUUGCGAGUCGGAUAAAGAUUUGAGGAAUGUGGCACCUUCGGGUGUGUUAUAGCCUCUUGCUGAAUACGGAUUGCGAGACCGAGGGACGCAGCGCGCCGUAAGGCAAAAGCUUCGGCUUUUUCGCGCUUAGGAUGCUGGUGAAA